CUUCACUGCCAGCCGAGUAUCACCACAGAGCUGUCCUUGGCUGUGUUCAGCCCCACAGUGGACUUGGCCUAAGUUUUUGAGACCACCAACAAAGGAGCCUGAGCUUGAGGAAAUUUGCUCUCGGAGGGACUGAAAAAACAUUAACAACGUGUACAGAGAAAAAUGAAAAGGAUUGUGUCCAUGACAAGUAGAAGAAUGAGAGAGACGGCGUAGAGGGUGAAGCUUAAGUGAGACCUGAUAUUGCCUGGGCUCCAGCUGAUGUUUCAAAGCCAAGCCAAGCGGUGAGUACCCUGACGACCGCCCCCAGGUAUCAGUGCUGGCUGGCACGCUUCCACCCCAGUGACCCAUCCCUGGGCUUUGCCUUCAUCCCUGGUACUCAGGUAUCCUUGUGGUACUCAGCUCCCACACUGUCUUGUCUUUUUUUUUUUUUUUUUUUGCGGUACGCGGGCCUCUCCCGUUGCGGAG